GCGAGUGUAGCUCAGCUGGUUAGAGCACUUCACUGAUAAUGAAGAGGUCGUAGGUUCAAGUCCUACCACUCGCA
rnacentral:tRNA from 1 species